AUACGAAGGGGGCUAGCGUUGUUCGGAUUUACUGGGCGUAAAGCGCACGUAGGCGGAUUGAUUAGUUAGGGGUGAAAUCCCGAGGCUCAACCUCGGAACUGCCUUUAAUACUGUCAAUCUCGAGACCGGAAGAGGUGAGUGGAACUCCUAGUGUAGAGGUGGAAUUCGUAGAUAUUAGGAAGAACACCAGUGGCGAAGGCGGCUCACUGGUCCGGUACUGACGCUGAGGUGCGAAAGCGUGGGGAGCGAACAGGAUUAGAAACCCUUGUAGUCC
rnacentral:rRNA from 1 species